UACAGAGGGUGCGAGCGUUAAUCGGAAUUACUGGGCGUAAAGCGCACGUAGGCGGUUUGUCGCGUCGGGAGUGAAAAUCCAGGGCUUAACUCUGGACUGGCUUCCGAUACGGGCAGACUAGAGGUAUGCAGGGGAGAACGGAAUUCCUGGUGUAGCGGUGAAAUGCGCAGAUAUCAGGAGGAACACCGGUGGCGAAGGCGGUUCUCUGGGCAUUACCUGACGCUGAGGAGCGAAAGUGUGGGGAGCGAACAGG
rnacentral:rRNA from 1 species